UACGUAGGGCGCAAGCGUUGUCCGGAAUUAUUGGGCGUAAAGCGAACGUAGGCGGUUUCUUAAGUUUGGUCUUAAAGACCGGGGCUCAACCCCGGGAAUGGAUCGAAAACUGGGAGACUAGAGGAUGUCAGAGGAAAGUGGAAUUCCGAGUGUAGCGGUGAAAUGCGUAGAUAUUCGGAAGGAACACCAGUGGCGAAAGCGACUUUCUGGGGCAUUCCUGACGCUGAGGUUCGAAAGCUCGGGGAGCAAACAGG
rnacentral:rRNA from 1 species